CUUAAUUCAGGCUCAAUGGACAGAUAUGUUGAUCCAAGAGGAUACAGAAGAGAUCGUGGGGGAGAUCAUGGAUGAACUGUUGAGUAAGGUCAUGGAAGGCUGUUUAAAGGUGGACAUUGAAAGACAGCUAAUACCUUUCUGCGCAUCCUGGGCCAAGAACUACCUCACGCAGAUUGUAGAGCGCCAAUUCUUGUGCCUAGAUGAGGGAGAAGGACCAGACGAAGCCUCUAAAACAAAAGACUCUGAGCCUAUGCCAGGAACUCCAGAUGCUUGGGCUGAAGGAUGUGUGCCUGUUAUAAAUGCAACCCUUGGACAUCAUCUCACCUCACAAAAGGAGGCUGACAAUGGCCAGGUCCCACUACAAACAGAGCCAAGGGUCAACCACCAAUGUCAUGUCAUGCCCCAAAUGGAAUGCUCUUCAAGACAAACUAAGAAAGAAACAAGUCCCCAGAGGCUUGUCACAGACAUUAGAAAGCAUUAUAAAGUGGUUGAUCCUUGCACUCCACCAAAGACUGAUCAAAAGAAAAGGCAGCAGGUUAAUUCGCCUCCAAAACAUUUU
ensembl:lncRNA